rnacentral:lncRNA from 10 species
GCCCUUCCCCCACCCACGCCGGCGGGAGCCGCCCGUUCGCGCUGCCAGCAGCUUCCGCCUGCUACGGUCCUGGCAAGCACCUCGGGAUCCCAUUCCUUCACAGGGACCCUAGCCAGUUAAAGCUGAUACAUUCCUGUGGGUCAACUAUGCAACUAACUCAGAUUUUGAGCAAACAAAGCUCUCAAGUUGGUGAUCCUCAGGAGUCUCUGCAUUAGUUGGACAGCUCUUCUGGAAUUAUCUUCUAAGUCAACUGUGGGUUGGGUAGGUGGCUCUGCUGAUUUUUCGCUGGACUUCCACAUUUGGGACGAGUUGGCUGUCAUCAGCUCUAGAAAGGGUGUGGCCGUUUUACAUUGGCUGUUUUCCUCACAUUCCUCAAGCAGGUACUGUAAUAAAGAACUGGAGAAAUACAGUCAGAUGGGAAGUAGCCCUUGCUGUCAAGGAGCUUGCCAUCUAAUGGGGGAGACAGGCAAGUAAACCAAAGACUACACAGUGCAGUAUGGUAAGUGCCAUGAUUUUGAUGUGACAGGGCACAGUGGACGACCUUCCAAAUCAAAGCAAGUAACUAGGGGUUGACAAUGGUAAGUAUCAUAGUUGAAGUAUCCUUGAACAAGGUUUCAGGAAGAAGAAGAAGGGAAUUUCAUGCAGGGAAACAGCCAAAGCUCAGUGAGUCAAAAUAUCACAGCAUUCUUGGUAAGCCCAAUUGUUUUUUCUGUUUUGCUAUUUUGGUGGAGAGAAAGGAACACAUAAAGGAAUAACAUGAGAGAAGGCUAUUUGGGGAAGUGUAGUAGUUAAGGUUCUGGCUCAAACAACAACUGCAGCUCAUAAAGUUGACUUUAGUGGAAGGAUACUGGGGUAUCUCAUGGAAUCUUGGGAACUGUUGAAUAACCAGGGAAACUCUGGGAAACUCACUGGUAGGAAUCCAUAAACUGUCCUCCUGGUGGGCUGUAAACAACUCACCCUCUAUGCAUCUCACAUCAAAAUUCCAGUUUCUUGGGAAAACAAGUCUGUUUGCCCAAUUUGGGUCAUAUUUCCACGUCCAUGUUACUCAGGCAUGAUUCAUCUGCAAGUUAUGUGUAUAGAUAUUUUGCUACUGUUCCACCCUUACGCUGUGCUGGGGAGGGAGGUGUCACUGUGAGCUGUGUCGGUGCCUUAAGAGAUAUCUGUUGUGUCUUAUUACUUGGUUGCUUUUCCCCACAUGUACAAUGACAAAAAUGCCUUCAACCUAUUUGAUCCAGCCGUUCCAGUACAACUCCUAUACUUGCCAUCUUUCCAAGCCCAAAGGUACAUCCAGCUGAUGGAAGGAGCAUCUUGGUGUUAAUAUUCUUUUAGUCAUGGUCUCUGAAAGUAAAAUGUCUAUUCUUCUAAUUCUGGCACAAUCUUAUCUAGCUAUAGUUCCUCAUGGUCCUGCACUCCAUGGACUAAAUUGUAAGUAUAAUUACUACCAAUGUACUCUAUAAAUAACUUUUGGGGCCAGGGUGGCAAUAGUUGCUAGAGAGAAAAAAAAAAAAAAGGAAGGAGAAGAAAACAGUGAUAGUUCUUAUUUUAAAAGGAAAAAAAGAGGCAGGAGGCUCUCUUGAGGCCAGGAGUUUAAGACCAGCCUAGGCAGCAUUUCAAGACCCUGUCUCUACUAAAAAGUAAAAAAAAAAUUUAGUCAGGCAUGGUGGCAUGCACCUGUAGUCGUAGCUACUCAGGAGACUGAGGUGGGAGGAUUGAUUGAGCUCAGGAGUUUGAGGCUGCAGUGAGCAAUCAUCAUGCCAUUGCACUCCAGCCUGGGCAUCAGAGCAAGACCUUGUCUUUUAGGAAAAAAAGGCAGGGAAGAGGAAUAGGUAAUUUUUCAGUGUUCAGACAUUCCAGCAAUAUGUGUGGAGUACUCAUUCUCACUACAGUUUAUGAGGCCAUAGCUAGUAUGUAUGACUACCCAUCCAAGUUUCCCUGCUUACAGUUACUAUUCCAACUGAUUGGGGGGCUUUUCCUAAUAGAGUGAUUUAAGCCUUCAUUUUUAGACAUCUAAGCCCUUGGUGAUCAUCAGCAUAAAAUGUGACAAAUUAAACAAAAGCAAGACAGCACAUCAGAGAACAACUCUGAGGUGGAAUGAUUGGGAACCAAUGAAUAGUUGUUCAGUAAAUGGUUUAUAUUUUACAGAUGAUGAAACUGAAACACAAAAAAUUUAGAUUAACUCUUAGGUGACAAAGCCAGGAUUGAAGCUCAUGCGGUCUGGCUCCAGAACAACUCUUCUUCAUAGUUACGUUAUACUGCCCCUGCAUUGUUGGUAUUGAAAAUAACUGAUACCGUGCUUCCAGAAGAUUUUUCUAACAGUGUUUGCAAGCUAUAAAAUAGUGCUUUCACUUAGAAAAGGCUAGACGUGGUGGUUCAUGCCUGUAAUCCCAGCACUUUGAGAGGCCGAGGCACCAUGCUGGGAGAUAAGGAUCCAACAUAAGACAAACAGUGCUGAUGCUUUUGGAAAGCUCAUAUUCAAGCUGGGGAGACAAACAACAUACAAGUGGCUGUAGCUACCU